AUUAAUUUUUUUUUUUUUUAUAUACAUGACAGUCCUUUUUAUUUUACUGAUUCUUUCCAGUUCUCUUCCAGUGAAAAUCAUACCUGACAGAAAAUCAAAACAAUCUUUGGGAUUUGCAUAUGUUUGGUUUACUAAUGAAGAGUCUGCCCAAUUGGCUGCCAAAGAGAUGGAUGGAAAGUUUCUUGAUGGCAGGUUUGUUGUUGCUAUGAUUGCAAAGCCUGAAUCUCCUUCAAGUCAGUUGAAGUUUACACCUUACAAGUUUUGAUCAGAACAUUCUGUCACUCCUGCGUUUUAGCUUCAGCCCAUUGGAAUUCCUCUUUUUGUUGGUAGGAUAUGCAAAUAAUUCUUUAAUCUCUAUUCUGGUUUUAGUUGUGGAUCUGAAUCUUCCUAUUUGCAUGCCAGCCAAUAAAUUAACAAAAAAUAGGUGACGUAAAACUAUUGGAACUGUCAA